UACAGGGGGUGCAAACGUUGCUCGGAAUCACUGGGCGUAAAGGGUGCGUAGGCGGGUCUUUAAGUCAGGGGUGAAAUCCUGGAGCUCAACUCCAGAACUGCCUUUGAUACUGAAGAUCUUGAGUUCGGGAGAGGUGAGUGGAACUGCGAGUGUAGAGGUGAAAUUCGUAGAUAUUCGCAAGAACACCAGUGGCGAAGGCGGCUUCCUGGACCGGUUCUGACACUGAGGAGCGAAAGCGUGGGGAGCGAUCCGG
rnacentral:rRNA from 1 species